UUCCUUCUAGAACUACUGCUUAAGCUCCAUUGAGGUUGGUAUAUUGUGAGUGGGAGCUUACUUAGUAACCUACGUGGCCGAUUCUGUCAAACUUGUUGAAAUGGACCUUCCCAAUAGGCAAUGUAUUGGAACACAUUCUAUGGGGCUUUUUAAGUUUACAGGCUGGGGCUUUUUGGAAUAAUAAUACCCAACAGACAGAUGCCCGCUGCCUUUGGAAUGGUCUGGUCUGGACGUGGGUCUUAUAUCUUGUUCACAAUGCUGUCAUUUGCAACUUAUGAAGACUCAAACGGGUAACCAUGUGACACAAAGAGCCUGGCCGGAUGCUCCACCAUACACAAUAAGACAAGGUGCGGGAAGACAUUGCUUGACGAGUGGAUCCUUCCAGGCUCAGGGAACCUGUGGAGAGGGAUGAAAGCAUAGUGAAAAGGACUUGCCAGGCUUUUACUGACUGGAAUUAAGAUGAUAUACAGGUAUACUUCCAGGCACAGCAUUUACCUCAAGGUGACUCAAGAGUGCCGACGGUCAAGUUGAAUAGGAUCAGCUGUCCUGACAUCUGUGUUGUCGCUCCCUCAGCCAAACCAUCUGAUAUCUACUGCGGUUGUGUGUAUGUGUGUGUUCCUGCGGGGGGACGAAUAAAAAAAAACUAAUUUCAAUUCAGCUCGGCAACAGAUGAAGUGAUGAAAAUAAUUGAAAAUAACAGCUAAGAGCAGGUGGGUUUGCAGAUGGUAACGGCAAAGAUCAGGUGGCCGUUAUUAUACACACAAACCCACAAAGGAACAAGCAUUGAUGAUGUUUUGUCUGUAUGCUUGUAUACAUUGUAUCCAUAUUUUCCCAGUUAUUUGUAGGUUGUGUGUGUAUCUUUGAGCACUUUGAUAAAGUAUCACUUUAAAGAGGAAAACCAUUGCUGCAUUAUGACAAGACAACGUGUGCAGCCAUAUGACUUACAUCCACAUUUUUUAAAUGAAAAGAAACCAGAGGCCCAUUAUCUCUUUGGAUAGGUUUCAUUUUAAUUCCAUGCACUUCUUUUUUCUGUCGUAGUGGGUUUGUUAUGUAAAAACGCAGUCCUCUUUUCCAUGACAAAAUAAUAGAAGGAAUCGUUUGUUAUUUAGGAUGUCACCUGUUUGUAAUGUUCUGAUACCAUCCAUUUUCUUUGAUUACAUGUGUUAUUGAGUGAUGGACAUCAUGAUGCUUGGGAAAUCCUCAAUUUGGAUAGAUUAUUAAAUUGGAUUUAGAUUGGAUGGAAAAUGGCUUUUUAUCAGACUAACCCUUUCACAGGAAGUUAUGAUGAAAAAUGCAAUUUCGGUGAAUCCUCCCAUACCUUAUAUCAGAGAGUUGAAAACUAUCCUAGUGGCGUGGCUAUGGGCAAUAUCCAUGGCUCAGUCAUUCCAUCGUAUUAAUUCAGACUGGAAUAUCUUAACAAAUAUUGGAUGCACUGCCAUGAUGUUCAAACAUUCAUGAUCCCCAGAAAAUGAAUCCUGGUGGCUUAUUCUCUAGUGCCACUAUCCGUUCAACAUUUGUGGCUCUAAGUAAUGUAAUUCCAACAUUUUGUUGCAUUAUCUAUUUCUGCUCUGUAAAUCAUGUUCAUCGGAUAAAUUGUUAUACAUUUGAUGAUCACUUGACUUAUUUUUAAGCGUACUUUCAAAACUAAUGGCAUUAGAAGAUGUUAUAAUGCUUACAUAAAUGUAGAAGAUGAUCAUUACACCAUCUUAGCAUUAGCAUUGUCAAUGAUACAAUUAGAAUUUAGCUUUAAGCAUUAGUCAAAAUUCUCACAGAGCCGUUACAAUGGCUGUAAAUUCAUAACUCCUGUCGUAUGUCCAAUGGUUACAUUUCAAAUAAACACAGGGCAACUACAGUUUGGUGAAGGCACAGGAAGGCUGUGGUUUUGGUUCAUGAAAAGGCAAAUAUGUUCAUGAUGAUGGGGUCGCAAAACAUUCAACAAACCAACUUUAAAACCCUUCGGCCUUGGUUGCUGCAAUGAAGACCGAAUAAAGAUCCAUCACAACAAUGUUUUAGGGGUUCAAUGGGAGAGUGGUGCAGUGAUCUUAAGGAAGCCAUAUGGAACCGUAGGAGACAUCACACAAUCCGCUCGACAAGCAGAGUAAGGCCUCCCGUGACGGGUACACUGAAUGACCCUGGAGGAAAAAAAACCUAUUCAGUGAAAGUGGAAAAACUACAAUAAUAUCAUGUCAUAGUCAGCAGAACUCCUAUGAUCGCAGAAUGUCUGCACCCACUUGCAAUGAUAACGGUGCACGUCAUGUCAGCUGAUAGAAGAUGUCUGCGCUUGGAAUCUCUAGAUUAGGUCCUGAUGACUUGUGGGGAAAACCAACAUGAUCCCUCUGCACUUGGUUGUGCACCCAGCCCCCGACCCCUUUUCAUUAUGUUAUCGACCUAUAAUAUUCUGCUCCGAAGAUGAAUCUGAAGACCUUUGAGUAGCCUUUACGCAUAACUUGUAUGUGUGUCAAUUCCGUCGUCUGUUUGCAAACGAAUACAAAUAAAAUAUCCUGUCGGGAACCGGGUUUUGGUUUCCC
ensembl:lncRNA